ACCUAGCUGACGAAUGUUAAAUAGGACGAAACGCGCGUCCUGGAU
rfam:Schistosoma curassoni strain Dakar, Senegal genome assembly, scaffold: SCTD_contig0016824